rnacentral:lncRNA from 1 species
AAUAAUGUGCGUGAGACGGUUAGAACCCAAAGCGAAGAGCUGAAUGGGGAAAUGGGUUUUUCGGUUUAUAAACCAGAAGUGAGUUAAGUGGUUUUCCUGUAGCUCUGUGAGCUGUUAGAGUCGAGCUUCUCGAUGCUCUCACUUCACCUGCUGUUGGUGGAGAAAUGGCUCUGAUCAUUCUGCUCUUUCUCCAUCUGAUUCUGGAGGUUCAUCCUCAGUGGUUUCUCUCUGUUGGAGAUCUUCCUCAGCCCUUUCUCUCAGUGUCUCCUGCAGUUAUCACACAGAAUGAAUCAGUAGAGCUGCACUGUGGAGCUGAUAAUAGAGAGUAUCAGUGUAUUUUCUAUCCAAAGGGUCAGGAUACAAGAACUAAACUCUCCUCAUCCUGUCAGCUCUCACUCACUGGAUCUGAGCUGAUGUGGUGGACAAGACGAAGCUCUGGUUCACCUGAACCGGUUAACAUGAUUUGUUUCUACAGUAAGAAAGCAACAGCAGGUUCUAGACCUUCUGAUCACUCUGCCCCAGUUGCUGUGUUGAUUCUGGAUCAGAAACCAACAAUAAGUGUUCAAUAUGAUUUUCAACGUGAUGAGUUUACAGCUGUGUGUGAAAUACAGCUGUCACGGUCAGUAAUUGCUGAAUUUAGAUGUGAGCUCUACACUGGAGAUCUGCAGUUCCUGAAGGGAGAAUCUCAGAAGUCUGGCUUUGAGAAGUUGAACUGUAUUUUUACAGCUUCUAAAAAUGAUCUUUUCAGGCGUCUACACUCAGCCAAGAGCAGAGAAGUUAGCUGUGAUUAUUCUCUAAAAUCUGACCCGUCCACUCGCUCUCCAAGAAGUGACAAAUACGAUAUAUCAGUUUUCCUUCCUAUACCAACCCAACCCUCUACAACACAGCAGAAAUCUACUACAGGUAGAACUGUUCCUUCAGUUCCCAGUAGGUUAAGUGUCCAUACAGUACUGUGCAAAAGUUUUAGGCACCAAAGCAAA